GUGCUUGCUUCAGCAGCACGAAUACUAAAGUUGGAACAAUACAGAGGAGAUUAGCAUGGCCCCAGUGCAAGGAUGAUGACACACAAUCUCAUGAAGCGUUCCAUAUUUAA